UACUUANGAAUCUACCUAGUAGUGGGGGAUAGCUCGGGGAAACUCGAAUUAAUACCGCAUACGUCCUACGGGAGAAAGCAGGGGAUCAUUAGACCUUGCGCUAUUAGAUGAGCCUAAGUCGGAUUAGCUAGAUGGUGGGGUAAAGGCCUACCAUGGCGACGAUCUGUAGCUGGUCUGAGAGGAUGAUCAGCCACACCGGGACUGAGACACGGCCCGGACUCCUACGGGAGGCAGCAGUGGGGAAUAUUGGACAAUGGGGGGAACCCUGAUCCAGCCAUGCCGCGUGUGUGAAGAAGGCCUUUUGGUUGUAAAGCACUUUAAGCAGUGAAGAAGACUCUUCGGUUAAUACCCGGGGACGAUGACAUUAGCUGCAGAAUAAGCACCGGCUAACUCUGUGCCAGCAGCCGCGGUAAUACAGAGGGUGCAAGCGUUAAUCGGAAUUACUGGGCGUAAAGCGAGCGUAGGUGGCUUGAUAAGUCAGAUGUGAAAUCCCCGGGCUUAACCUGGGAACUGCAUCUGAAACUGUUAGGCUAGAGUAGGUGAGAGGGAAGUAGAAUUUCAGGUGUAGCGGUGAAAUGCGUAGAGAUCUGAAGGAAUACCGAUGGCGAAGGCAGCUUCCUGGCAUCAUACUGACACUGAGGCUCGAAAGCGUGGGGUAGCAAACAGGAUUAGAUACCCUGGUAGUCCACGCCGUAAACGAUGUCUACUAGUCGUUGGGUCCCUUGANGACUUANUGACGCAGCUAACGC
rnacentral:rRNA from 1 species